rnacentral:rRNA from 1 species
GACGAACGCUGGCGGCGUGCCUAAUACAUGCGAGUCGAGCGGACCAAACAGGAGCUUGCUCUUGUUUGGUUAGCGGCGGACGGGUGAGUAACACGUGGGUAACCUGCCCGUAAGACCGGGAUAACUCCGGGAAACCGGAGCUAAUACCGGAUAACACCGAAGACCGCAUGGUCUUUGGUUGAAAGGCGGCUUCGGCUGCCACUUACGGAUGGGCCCGCGGCGCAUUAGCUAGUUGGUGAGGUAACGGCUCACCAAGGCGACGAUGCGUAGCCGGCCUGAGAGGGUGGCCGGCCACACUGGGACUGAGACACGGCCCAGACUCCUACGGGAGGCAGCAGUAGGGAAUCUUCCGCAAUGGACGAAAGUCUGACGGAGCGACGCCGCGUGAGCGAAGAAGGUCUUCGGAUCGUAAAGCUCUGUUGUUAGGGAAGAAGAAGCGCCGUUCGAACAGGGCGGCGCGGUGACGGUACCUAACGAGAAAGCCCCGGCUAACUACGUG